AACGAACGCUGGCGGCAGGCUUAACACAUGCAAGUCGAGCGCCCCGCAAGGGGAGCGGCAGACGGGUGAGUAACGCGUGGGAAUCUACCCAUCUCUACGGAAUAACGCAUGGAAACGUGUGCUAAUACCGUAUACGUCCUUCGGGAGAAAGAUUUAUCGGAGAUGGAUGAGCCCGAGUUGGAUUAGCUAGUUGGUGGGGUAAAGGCCUACCAAGGCGACGAUCCAUAGCUGGUCUGAGAGGAUGAUCAGCCACACUGGGACUGAGACACGGCCCAGACUCCUACGGGAGGCAGCAGUGGGGAAUAUUGGACAAUGGGCGCAAGCCUGAUCCAGCCAUGCCGAGUGAGUGAUGAAGGCCCUAGGGUUGUAAAGCUCUUUCACCGGUGAAGAUAAUGGCGGUAACCGGAGAAGAAGCCCCGGCUAACUUCGUGCCAGCCGCCGCGGUAAUAC
rnacentral:rRNA from 1 species